AGCAGCCGCGGUAAUUCCAGCUCCAAUAGCGUAUAUUAAAGUUGUUGCAGUUAAAAAGCUCGUAGUUGAAUUUCGGGAUCAAUACGUCGGUCGUGCUUCGGUACGUACUGGCGUCAUUGAUUUCUCCCUUCUGACGAACCAUGAUGUCAUUAACUUGGUGUCAUGGGAAAUCAGGACUGUUACUUUGAAAAAUUAGAGUGUUUAAAGCAGGCUCACGCUUGAAUACAUUAGCAUGGAAUAAUGAAAUAGGACGUUCGAACCUAUUUUGUUGGUUUCUAGGAUCAACGUAAUGAUUAAUAGGGAUAGUUGGGGGCAUUAGUAUUCAAUUGUCAGAGGUGAAAUUCUUGGAUUUAUUGAAGACUAACUACUGCGAAAGCAUUUGCCAAGGAUGUUUUCAUUAAUCAAGAACGAAAGUUAGGGGAUCGAAGACGAUCAGAUACCGUCGUAGUCUUAACCAUAAACUAUGCCGACUAGGGAUCGGAUGAUGUUAAUUUUUAAUGACUCAUUCGGCGCCUUAAC
rnacentral:rRNA from 1 species